UACGUAGGGGGCAAGCGUUGUCCGGAAUCAUUGGGCGUAAAGAGCGUGUAGGCGGCCCGAUAAGUCCGCCGUGAAAGUCCAGGGCUCAACCCUGGAAUGCCGGUGGAAACUGUCGGGCUGGAGUCUGGAAGAGGCGAGUGGAAUUCCUGGUGUAGCGGUGAAAUGCGCAGAUAUCAGGAGGAACACCGAUGGCGAAGGCAGGUCUCUGGGCCGAUACUGACGCUGAGGAGCGAAAGCGUGGGGAGCGAACAGG
rnacentral:rRNA from 1 species